AUUGAACGCUGGCGGCAGGCCUAACACAUGCAAGUCGGACGGUAGCACAGAGAGCUUGCUCUCGGGUGACAAGUGGCGGACGGGUGAGUAAUGUCUGGGGAUCUGCCCGAUAGAGGGGGAUAACCACUGGAAACGGUGGCUAAUACCGCAUAACGUCGCAAGACCAAAGAGGGGGACCUUCGGGCCUCUCACUAUCGGAUGAACCCAGAUGGGAUUAGCUAGUAGGCGGGGUAACGGCCCACCUAGGCGACGAUCCCUAGCUGGUCUGAGAGGAUGACCAGCCACACAGGAACUGAGACACGGUCCAGACUCCUACGGGAGGCAGCAGGGGGGAAUAUUGCACAGUGGGCGCAAGCCUGAUGCAGCCAUGCCGCGUGUAUGAAGAAGGCCUUCGGGUUGUAAAGUACUUUCAGCGGGGAGGAAGGCGAUGUGGUUAAUAACCGCAUUGAUUGACGUUACCCGCAGAAGAAGCACCGGCUAACUCCGUGCCAGCAGCCGCGGUAA
rnacentral:rRNA from 1 species